rnacentral:rRNA from 1 species
CUGGCGACAGGCCUAACGCAUGCAAGUCGAGGGGCGAGCACAAGGAGCAAUCUGAGGUGGCGACCGGCGCACGGGUGAGUAACACGUAUGCAACCUGCCUGUAAGCGGGGAAUAACCCGUUGAAAGACGGACUAAUACCGCAUAAUACUAAAUUACUGCAUGGUAAUUUAUUUAAACAUUUAUGGCUUACAGAUGGGCAUGCGCAUGAUUAGCUAGUUGGAGAGGUAACGGCUCCCCAACGGCAACGAUCAUUAGGGGUUCGUGAGAGGAAGGUCCCCCACCACUGGUACUGAGACACGGACCAGACUCCUACGGGAGGCAGCAGUGAGGAAUAUUGGUCAAUGGACGAGAGUCUGAACCAGCCAAGUCGCGUGCAGGAAGAAUUGUCCUAUGGAUUGUAAACUGCUUUUGCAGGGGAAUAAAGUGCAUCACGUGUGAUGUUUUGUAUGUACUCUGCGAAUAAGGAUCGGCUAACUCCGUGCCAGCCGCCGC